AAGUAGCUUGCUACUGGACCUAGCGGCGGACGGGUGAGUAAUGCUUAGGAAUCUGCCUAUUAGUGGGGGACAACAUCUCGAAAGGGAUGCUAAUACCGCAUACGUCCUACGGGAGAAAGCAGGGGACCUUCGGGCCUUGCGCUAAUAGAUGAGCCUAAGUCGGAUUAGCUAGUUGGUGGGGUAAAGGCCUACCAAGGCGACGAUCUGUAGCGGGUCUGAGAGGAUGAUCCGCCACACUGGGACUGAGACACGGCCCAGACUCCUACGGGAGGCAGCAGUGGGGAAUAUUGGACAAUGGGGGGAACCCUGAUCCAGCCAUGCCGCGUGUGUGAAGAAGGCCUUUUGGUUGUAAAGCACUUUAAGCGAGGAGGAGGCUACCGAGAUUAAUACUCUUGGAUAGUGGACGUUACUCGCAGAAUAAGCACCGGCUAACUCUGUGCCAGCAGCCGCGGUAAUACAGAGGGUGCAAGCGUUAAUCGGAUUUACUGGGCGUAAAGCGCGCGUAGGUGGCCAAUUAAGUCAAAUGUGAAAUCCCCGAGCUUAACUUGGGAAUUGCAUUCGAUACUGGUUGGCUAGAGUAUGGGAGAGGAUGGUAGAAUUCCAGGUGUAGCGGUGAAAUGCGUAGAGAUCUGGAGGAAUACCGAUGGCGAAGGCAGCCAUCUGGCCUAAUACUGACACUGAGGUGCGAAAGCAUGGGGAGCAAACAGGAUUAGAUACCCUGGUAGUCCAUGCCGUAAACGAUGUCUACUAGCCGUUGGGGCCUUUGAGGCUUUAGUGGCGCAGCUAACGCGAUAAGUAGACCGCCUGGGGAGUACGGUCGCAAGACUAAAACUCAAAUGAAUUGACGGGGGCCCGCACAAGCGGUGGAGCAUGUGGUUUAAUUCGAUGCAACGCGAAGAACCUUACCUGGUCUUGACAUAGU
rnacentral:rRNA from 1 species